rnacentral:lncRNA from 1 species
ACCAAAUAAUAAACCUCUAUAAUACACAUAUACACCCUACUUACGAGACCCUCUUUUCUUUUAAUUCUCAAACCUAUUCUUCUUAUCUCAUCCCAACCGCCCAGACUUACCAUUCCCAUGUUCCUUUCAAACUCUCUUCAUCCAAAACCAUCCACUAAGAAUAUUGAUAUUACAGGCAAAGUUUUGUGGUGGUUUUCAAAGGUUUCUAUGGCGGUUUGACAAAGGAAGAGUUGCGAUAGUUCCAGUAGUGAUUAAUAAUGGUGGCAUGGUGUGCCAGUGGCCGGUGGUAAGGCUGCGGUUCCCCCUCGAUUGGGCACCACACCGCUCUAAAUGAGAUGUGCACCUGCCGCCGGUAUUCUCAAUAGAUGACAUGUGGAGAUCGGCUAGGGAGAGGCGGGUUGGCUCACCGAUGUUGUGAACUCAUGCCGGCUAUUCUUUUCAGGUUGAAAUGACGGUGGUGGCGAUAGGGUAGUGCGACGGUGGUCGCAGCUCCGCCAUCGCACUGCCGUGAUAGCAUAGCAUUAUGGACAAUUAGUUUCAAAGUUUCAUGUUCUUACAAGGAAAAAACAUAAUAUGAAAUACAUAUUCAUACCACUUUAU